CCUACGGGAGGCAGCAGUGGGGAAUAUUGGGCAAUGGGCGCAAGCCUGACCCAGCAACGCCGCGUGAGGGAAGAAGGCUCUCGGGUUGUAAACUUCUUUUAUCAGGGACGCAGCAAGUGACGGUACCUGAUGAAUAAGCCACGGCUAACUACGUGCAAGCCGCCGCGGUAAUACGGAGGUGGCGAGCGUUAUCCGGAUUUACUGGGUGUAAGGGGCGUGUAGGCGGGAAGGCAAGUCAGAUGGGAAAACCAUGGGCUUAACCCGUGGCCUGCAUUUGAAACUGUUUGUCUUGAGUACUGGAGAGGCAGACGGAAUGCGUAGUGUAGCGGUGAAAUGCGUAGAUAUCAGGAGGAACACCAGUGGCGAAGGCGGUCUGCUGGACAGCAACUGACGCUGAGGCGCGAAAGCGUGGGGAGCAAACAGGAUUAGAUACCCUGGUAGUC
rnacentral:rRNA from 1 species